rnacentral:lncRNA from 1 species
UGCCUCUUUCACUCUUAGAUAUUUUUCUCUUGUGUAUCUGGACUCUUUUUUUUAUAGCCUUCAAAAGCCUCCAUAGUCUUGACCGUGUUCAAUCGCCUACUCUCUCACGGAUUACUUAUUUUUUUAGGAUUUAAAACCUUACGGCUUCUCAUCCACGUCCCAAGCGCCUCGCCCAAUUCCGUGUAUGUAAACUCUCUGGUCUCAACUUGGACCGAACCAGCAUUGCUCGAACCCUGUGUAAGUCGUGCCGCAUUAUUUCUACAUUCGCGAAGGUUGUGAACCGCGCUGCCCAUGCACCACC